GUGUGUGUGGGGGGGGGGUCAGUAGCGGGAGUUGGUGCUUAGCCUUCCUCUCUGCUUUUAUCCGUAAACUUCAGCAAGACCCAGGGCCAAUGCACCCGCGGCGGGGAUCUGCCAGGAGACAGAACAUCGUGCCUCCAAGUCCCAAGGAGUUGGAUGAAUUGCCAGCAUUCGCGCCGCGCCUGCGAGCUGGUUAGCAGAGAUCUAAGCUCAAACUCCGGUCUGGGAGGAGAGACCAGCGAGCACUGCCUGGAGUGGGUCGCACGCCGGCACAGCACAGCGAAUCAAAAGUUAAUGCGGGAGUUCAAACCUCCAAGCCGCGGAAGAACUCAGCUGCUUUGAAAGGACUUAAGGCAGUGUGUGGAGGACGUCUCCCUUCUCCGUCGGUAAAGAGAGGUACAUCCACCCUGGGAUGGGAUUACCCCUCCCCUCCUCCUCCUCUUUCUGCUCUUCUUCUAGCCCCAGCAGCUGCUUGAUGGAGACCUCUUCUCCCCGCAUCUGAAUGGAACGUCUUUGCUCAGAGUCUACAGAAUGUCAAAACUGAGGCUCCUCAGAGCUACAGCUUUAAGAACCACUCCACACAAAGAGGCAGCUGGUUGCUUUAACGGAAACUGCCUUUAAGCUUCAAGAACUGAAGUCUUGGGGAAUACAUUUAUAAGGAGCAGAGAAAAAUGCAUUUCCAAGCUGUAUGUUCUUGGGAAAUACAAAAUAAAAUUUACCUGAAAAAAUGAGAAUUAACCUUAAUUAUGUAGCUGUUGAUUAAAGACGCCCCCAUUUAGAAUUUUAUGUUCCAUCUAUAAAUGCAUUUUGCAAAUUGCUGAUUGCUUAUCUGUACCCAUAUCAAAGGAAAAACAAAACAAAACAAAACAAAGGUGAAGCAUUAGAUUUCUGAAAGUUGAAGCACCUUAACUCAUCCACUUGGCAAGUUAAUUUGUUGUUUGCUUGUGUGCACACAAUUUUGUUUAUUUUUAACUCCCAAGUAGUCCAUUGCAAUGCACGUUCAGUGGCAUUUGACAUUGACGUUGUUUGAAUCCAUGGGUAUUCAUUUCUUUUCCCUUCUUCAAGCUACAGAUCUCAUCAUUAAAAAUGCCCCACUCUUUGUAGUCCCAAAGUGAAUAUUUUAUAAACAGGUUCGAAGACUUCUAACAUCAUAUCACCCAGGCAGUGUAAGCUGUUUCCUGGAUUACUUAGAGUAAAUUGUCAAAGGAAAGCCUGCUAAAUUUUGAGUGUUGAAUGUGAGGCCAGAAGAACGUAUAAAAUAUAAAGGAGACAUUUCAGGGACAAGCUAGACAGACCCUGUGUGGAGGAGUUAAAAUCUCAGGAACAGAACAUGAAGGGCUUGUGCCUUUUUAGUUCACUUCCUUGAAAUUCCGUUGUCAAAGUACCAAAGGUUAAAUAAAUUUCUAACAAUGAAACCUGAA
rnacentral:sRNA from 1 species